AGCGUAUAUUAAGUUGUUGUGGUUAAAAAGCUCGUAGUUGAACCUUGGGCCUGGCUGGCCGGUCCGCCUCACCGCGUGCACUGGUCCGGCCGGGCCUUUCCCUCUGUGGAACCCCAURCCCUUCACUGGGYGUGGCGGGGAAACAGGACWUUUACUKUGAAAAAAUUAGAGUGCUCCAGGCAGGCCUAUGCUCGAAUACAUUAGCAUGGAAUAAUAAAAUAGGACGCGCGGUUCUAUUUUGUUGGUUUAUASGACCGCCGUAMUGAUUARUAGGGACAGUCGGGGGCAUCRUUAUUCAAYUGUCA
rnacentral:rRNA from 1 species